AAGGAUUUAAGUUAAAGAAAAACUAGUAACCUUCAAAGUUACCAAUAAAAGGGAUUAAGCCUUA
rnacentral:tRNA from 1 species